rnacentral:rRNA from 1 species
AAACCAACCGGGAUUGCCUUAGUAACGGCGAGUGAAGCGGCAAAAGCUCAAAUUUGAAAUCUGGUACCUUCGGUGCCCGAGUUGUAAUUUGGAGAGGGCAACUUUGGGGCCGUUCCUUGUCUAUGUUCCUUGGAACAGGACGUCAUAGAGGGUGAGAAUCCCGUGUGGCGAGGAGUGCGGUUCUUUGUAAAGUGCCUUCGAAGAGUCGAGUUGUUUGGGAAUGCAGCUCUAAGUGGGUGGUAAAUUCCAUCUAAAGCUAAAUAUUGGCGAGAGACCGAUAGCGAACAAGUACAGUGAUGGAAAGAUGAAAAGAACUUUGAAAAGAGAGUGAAAAAGUACGUGAAAUUGUUGAAAGGGAAGGGCAUUUGAUCAGACAUGGUGUUUUGUGCCCUCUGCUCCUUGUGGGUAGGGGAAUCUCGCAUUUCACUGGGCCAGCAUCAGUUUUGGUGGCAGGAUAAAUCCAUAGGAAUGUAGCUUGCCUCGGUAAGUAUUAUAGCCUGUGGGAAUACUGCCAGCUGGGA